CCANGCGUUNGGAGCUCUCCCNUAUGGUCGACCUGCAGGCGGCCGCGAAUUCACUAGUGAUUAGAGUUUGAUCCUGGCUCAGAUUGAACGCUGGCGGCGUGCUUAACACAUGCAAGUCGAACGUGAAAGUCCUUCGGGGCGAGUAAAGUGGCGCACGGGUGAGUAACGCGUGGAUAAUCUACCCUUAAGAUGGGGAUAACGGCUGGAAACGGUCGCUAAUACCGAAUACGCUCCCGAUUUUAUCAUUGGGGGGAAAGAUGGCCUCUGCUUGCAAGCUAUCGCUUAAGGAUGAGUCCGCGUCCCAUUAGCUAGUUGGCGGGGUAACGGCCCACCAAGGCAACGAUGGGUAGCCGGUCUGAGAGGAUGACCGGCCACACUGGAACUGGAACACGGUCCAGACUCCUACGGGAGGCAGCAGUGGGGAAUAUUGCGCAAUGGGCGAAAGCCUGACGCAGCGACGCCGCGUGAGGGAUGAAGGUUCUCGGAUCGUAAACCUCUGUCAGGGGGGAAGAAACCCCCUCGUGUGAAUAAUGCGAGGGCUUGACGGUACCCCCAAAGGAAGCACCGGCUAACUCCGUGCCAGCAGCCGCGGUAAUACGGAGGGUGCAAGCGUUAAUCGGAAUCACUGGGCGUAAAGCGCACGUAGGCGGCUUGNUAAGUCANGGGUGAAAUCCCACAGCCCAACUGUGGAACUGCCNUUGAUACUGCCNNGCUUGAGUACCGGANNGGGU
rnacentral:rRNA from 1 species